rnacentral:rRNA from 1 species
GACGAACGCUGGCGGCGUGCCUAAUACAUGCAAGUCGAACGCUGAAGAGAGGAGCUUGCUCUUCUUGGAUGAGUUGCGAACGGGUGAGUAACGCGUAGGUAACCUGCCUUGUAGCGGGGGAUAACUAUUGGAAACGAUAGCUAAUACCGCAUAACAAUGGAUGACACAUGUCAUUUAUUUGAAAGGGGCAAUUGCUCCACUACAAGAUGGACCUGCGUUGUAUUAGCUAGUAGGUGAGGUAAUGGCUCACCUAGGCGACGAUACAUAGCCGACCUGAGAGGGUGAUCGGCCACCCUGGGACUGGGACACGGCCCAGACUCCUACGGGAGGCAGCAGUAGGGAAUCUUCGGCAAUGGGGGCAACCCUGACCGCGCAACGCCGCGUGAGUGAAGAAGGUUUUCGGAUCGUAAAGCUCUGUUGUAAGUCAAGAACGGGUGUGAGAGUGGAAAGUUCACACUGUGACGGUAGCUUACCAGAAAGGGACGGCUAACUACGUG